CGCUUAUUUCGCCCAGGCGGAGCUCGACCGCCCACUGAAGCGAUGAUCGCCUUUAUCGACGAACAUCGUGGGCAUUACGGGGUCGAGCCGAUCUGCAGAGUCCUGCCAGUCGCCCCA
rfam:Pelagibacterium sp. SCN 63-23 ABS75_C0005, whole genome shotgun sequence.